GUGUCACUUGUCCACUUCUGCCUGCCCUGCCUCUCGAAUCUGCUCCACCAUUUGGUCAGGGCAGGCAGAAGUGGACAAGUGAGGA
rfam:Nomascus leucogenys chromosome 14, whole genome shotgun sequence.